GACGAACGCUGGCGGCGUGCUUAACACAUGCAAGUCGAACGGUAAGGCCCUUCGGGGUACACGAGUGGCGAACGGGUGAGUAACACGUUGGUGAUCUGCCCUGCACUUCGGGAUAAGCCCGGGAAACUGGGUCUAAUACCGGAUAGGACCACUGCCUGCAUGGGCGGUGGUGGAAAGCUUUUGCGGUGUGGGAUGGGCCCGCGGCCUAUCAGCUUGUUGGUGGGGUGAUGGCCUACCAAGGCGACGACGGGUAGCCGGCCUGAGAGGGUGACCGGCCACACUGGGACUGAGAUACGGCCCAGACUCCUACGGGAGGCAGCAGUGGGGAAUAUUGCACAAUGGGCGCAAGCCUGAUGCAGCGACGCCGCGUGAGGGAUGACGGCCUUCGGGUUGUAAACCUCUUUCAGCACCGACGAAGCGCAAGUGACGGUAGGUGCAGAAGAAGGACCGGCCAACUACGUGCUAGCAGCCGCAGUAA
rnacentral:rRNA from 1 species